rnacentral:rRNA from 1 species
UACGUAGGUGGCAAGCGUUGUCCGGAUUUACUGGGCGUAAAGGGCGUGCAGGCGGUUCGUUAAGUUCAGGGUGAAAGCUCCCGGCUCAACUGGGAGAGGUCUCUGGAUACUGGCGGACUUGAGGGAGGUAGAGGAGAGUGGAAUUCCCGGUGUAGCGGUGAAAUGCGCAGAUAUCGGGAAGAACACCCGUGGCGAAGGCGGCUCUCUGGAACGCAACUGACGCUGAGACGCGAAAGCGUGGGGAGCAAACAGG